AAAAAAAAAAAAAAAAAGAGUAGUACUGCUCCUACAAUGAGGUUUAUAAAGGGAAAGAGGAUGGGUUUCAGACACUCCUCCACCGUCUUCUAGGUUGUCUGCUUGGCUGUCGUCAUCCACCAUCGUCCACCGCUGCUUGGCUGUCGUCACCCAACCUCUCGAUCCUAGCUUCUUCGUCUUCUAGAUUUUGGUUAUUCAAUCUUGAUGGAGCUCCCCACACCACAAAGACCUCUACUGCCCUCACCUCAGCCUUUGUCUUCUACUAAGAUGGAUGAGGUGAAAAAAUUUUAUGAGGAACAAAAGAAAGAUUUAUUGGCAGUAAACUCAGGGUUUGUGGGCACUCUGUGCAAUGUUAUAGUCCUCCAAAUGGUUGUGUUUAGUGUGAUUUCUAUGGUUGUUCAUAAGGGAUGGGCCAUUUCGUUGGAACUCCGGAUGAUUUUGGUAGCCUUUGAUGUUGUAUUGGCUGUAGGGUGUCUUCUGGUGAUUGGUUCUAGCUUACGUGAAGUUUAUACAACUUUGAAUGCAUAUGCUGAUAUGCUUAAAAGGGUGAGUCCUUACAUUAGUAUUAGUAAUAGUGAUGAAUGGCUACUUAAGUAUCAAAUUCCAUUUCACAUGUGUGUUAUUAUUUCAUACUUCUUCCUCCGUUUCUUCUACUUGCUGGUACUGCUUUUUUUUAAUUAGUUCAAUUUAGUAUUGGAACUUCAGACUUUGAACCUUAAUUGGUUCUCUUUGAUUUUGUAGACAUUUACAUCCUUUUAUGUUAGAGGAGUAAAAGACAUAGUAACUUUUUUUUUUUU